UACGGGGGGGGCAAGCGUUGUUCGGAAUUACUGGGCGUAAAGGGCUCGUAGGCGGCCGAUUAAGUCGGGGGUGAAAGCCUGUGGCUCAACCACAGAAUUGCCUUCGAUACUGGUUGGCUUGAGACCGGAAGAGGACAGCGGAACUGCGAGUGUAGAGGUGAAAUUCGUAGAUAUUCGCAAGAACACCAGUGGCGAAGGCGGCUGUCUGGUCCGGUUCUGACGCUGAGGCGCGAAAGCGUGGGGAGCAAACAGGGU
rnacentral:rRNA from 1 species